rnacentral:rRNA from 1 species
CCUACGGGUGGGCAGCAGUAGGGAAUCUUCCACAAUGGACGAAAGUCUGAUGGAGCAACGCCGCGUGAGUGAAGAAGGGUUUCGGCUCGUAAAGCUCUGUUGGCAGUGAAGAAAGAUAGAGGCAGUAACUGGCCUUUAUUUGCCGGUAAUUACAUAGUAAGUUACCGCUAAAUACGUGCCAGCAGCCGCGGUAAUACGGCGGUGGUUAGCUUGGUCCGGGUUUUUUGGGCGGAAAGCGCGGGGUGGCGUUUCUAUAAGUCUGAUGUGAAAGCCUUCGGCUCAACCGGAGAAUUGCACCGGAAACUGGUAGACUUGAGUGCAGGAGAGGAGAGUGGAACGCCAUGUGUAGCGGUGGAAUGCGUAGAUAUAUGGAAGAACACCAGUGGCGAAGGCGGCUCUCUGGUCUGCAACUGACGCUGAGGCACGAAAGCAUGGGUAGCGAACAGGAUUAGAUACCCGAGUAGUC